rnacentral:lncRNA from 1 species
CUUGCCCAGAACCCACGCCUCAGGUAACAUGGCCCUUGGCACGCAGAGGGGUCCCAACUGCUUGAGCAGGACUGGAAGCAACGUGUGUGAGUUUCCCUCAAGGAACUUCCAGGAGAAGCAGGUCCACCCCUAUGCUCUGUCAUCACACGAGGACGCAGCAGUGUGGAGGCGACUGGAGUCCAGGGAGCACUGGGCUGCAGUCCUGUAUCUGGGCAGGGAUCGCCCAACCUGUGUUCAGGCCGUGGAGGGGAUGUCGCGGUGAGAAGAGGAGCUGCAGAGCCUUCCUUUCGUCCCCCACUAAGGCCCAUACAGUUCCUCUCCCACCCGCUUCUUGGAGACUCGUGGCUCGCAUAUGCACAAGGCGCCAUCGUGGAAAUGGACCCUUUUUCAUUUGUACAUUUUAAAAAAUGAGGCGUGAGCCACCGCACCUGGCCGACCAGUAACUUUUAAAACUGGCAAGCUGCCAAGCGACUCUGGGGACACUGAGGUUGGGCGUCUCUGGCCCUGGCCUUUGCCGUCAUGACACUGUGCUUUCUGAGCUCGAUGAUUUUCUUGUGCCUCCUACUCCAGGGCACGCAAGAGCCAUUUCUCAUGUGCUGAGUUUGGACAUUGUUUGGCCCAUUUCUGUCCUAGGCUCUGGAAGCAAACACCAUCUCUACAGCCUCAGUAAGGCCCGCCCAGGAGGAGCAGUCGAUGACGCCCCCAGGGAAGGUGGUGACCGUCAGCUCUCGCAGCCCCCGCUGCCCUCGGAACCAGGCCUCCCUCCGCAGCAGCAAGACCUUCCCGCCCAGCUCUGCACCCUGCUCCUCAGGUUUGAGAAACCCUCCAAGACCCCUCUUGGUGCCUGGUCCCUCCAGCACAGGAAGCAAUGACUCAGAUGGAGGCCUUUUUGCUGUCCCGACAACCUUGCCACCCAACAGCCGACACGGGAAGCUCUUCUCUCCCAGUAAAGAAGCAGAGCUGACUUUCCGCCAGCAUCUGAACUCCAUCAGUGUGAGUGUGUGGGGCCGGGCCGCCCGCGUGCGAGCGUCCCCGUGGUCUGGAGAGUGCACCUUCAGGUGCCGGACGCUGCUCCCUUACAGAUGCAGUCGGAUUUCUUCCUGCCAAAGCCCCGGAAGCUGCGGAACCGGCACCUGCGGAAGCCACUGGUGGUCCAGGUCAGGGUCUUCUCAAGUCUGAACGUGUGGCCUCGUGGCUGGGCCAACCAGGACACAGGGCUUCUUCCCUCUCUCACAUUUUCAUGGUGUAAAAUGUGGGAAAUUCCUGCCCCUUCCUUCCCUCUUGUGAGUAGGGUAAAAAUACAAGUAAUAACAGUGAACUUAAUGGUACCCAGAAGUAAAGGUAAUCUUUCAAUAACAUGGAAAUCCACUUGCAAAAAAGACAAUUAUAGGGAUUCAAGUCCAAAGAAUGUCCCAGAUUGGGAUGUAUUUAUGGAAUCUCAACACCUAUUUAUAAACAUUUAGUCUGUGGGAGCAGUUGCCAGGGCAUGUGGGUCAGCCAGAGCCCAGGCCUCUCAUGAGCUCCCCAGGAGUCCCCGAGGAUGCCGUAUGCAAGCCUGGGGGACAGCCAGGGACUCAGAGGCACCUCAGAAGAAGAGCUUGGCAUUCUGACGCAUAAAAAUACAGAAAGUGAGGUGGGAAGUCUGAGGUAAUUAUGGCCUCAGAAAUGUAUGGAUGUGUGUUAUUUUGGAUUCAUGCACAGGUUUCCUUUUGUUAGACUCUUAGAAAUCUCUUUCUCCCUUGAGAUUAGUAUAUUUACAAAUGAGACAUUGCAUGAACGGUCUUAGGAAGAAAGUGCCUGCUAAAUCUUAGGUGUUCUUUGUUCAAACUAAGAUCAGGGUUGAAAACUAUGGCCCAGGGACCACUUCCAGCCUGACUGUUGUUUUGUUUAAUUUAAAACAACUUUAUAGAUAGAGAAUUCACAUAUCAUAAUGUUUGCCCAUUUGAACUUUAUGACUCAGUGGUCACAAGGUGUACGACGACCAUCACCAUGGUCUAAUCCCAGAACGUUACCACCCAGAAAGGAAACCCUGCUCCUAUGAACUCACGUUGCCUUCUCCCGCCAGCCCUUGGCAACCACGGAUCCGCUUUCUGUCUCUAUGGAUUUGUCUGUUCUGGGCAUUUCCUAUAAAUGGGAUCAUACAAUUUGUGUUCUUUUCCACAUAAUAUUUUUGUAAAUAAAGUUUACUGGCACA